GACGAACGCUGGCGGCGUGCUUAACACAUGCAAGUCGAACGAAGUGGCGAACGGGUGAGUAAUACGUGGGUAACCUGCCCUCCUUUUUGGGAUAAGCCUUGGAAACGGGGUCUAAUACCGAAUAUAGGGGGAGGGGGUUGCGGCCUUUGAGCUGGUUGGUGGGGUGAUGGCCUACCAAGGCGGUGACGGGUCGCCGGCGUGAGGGGGUGACCGGCAACAUGGGGACUGCGAUACGGCCCAGAGUGCUAGGAGAGGGAGCAGGGGGGGAUAGUGCGCAAGGGGCGCAAGCCUGAUGCAGCGACGCCGAGUGGGGGAUGAAGGCGUUCGGGUUGUAAACCUGUUUCGAUAGCGAACGGGUAGGUGGAGAAGAAGCGCCGGCUAACUACGUGCCAGCAGCCGCGGUAAUAC
rnacentral:rRNA from 1 species